CCUACGGGAGGCAGCAGUGGGGGAUAUUGCACAAUGGGGGAAACCCUGAUGCAGCGACGCCGCGUGGGUGAAGAAGCGCCUCGGCGCGUAAAGCCCUGUCUGCAGGGGAGAAAAUGACGGUACCUGAAGAAGAAGCCCCGGCUAACUACGUGCCAGCAGCCGCGGUAAUACGUAGGGGGCCAGCGUUAUCCGGAUUUACUGGGUGUAAAGGGGGCGCAGACGGCGAUGCAAGCCAGGAGUGAAAGCCCGGGGCCCAACCCCGGGACUGCUCUUGGAACUGGGUGGCUAGAGUGCAGGAGGGGCAGGCGGAAUGCCUGGGGUAGCGGUGAAAUGCGUAGAUAUCAGGAGGAACACCGGUGGCGAAGGCGGCCUGCUGGACUGCAACUGACGUUGAGGCCCGAAAGCGUGGGGAGCAAACAGGAUUAGAUACCCUGGUAGUC
rnacentral:rRNA from 1 species